AGGAAAGUAGGGGAUCGCAAGACCUUGCGCUCUUGGAGCGGCCGAUGUCUGAUUAGCUAGUUGGUGAGGUAAAGGCUUACCAAGGCGACGAUCAGUAGCUGGUCUGAGAGGACGACCAGCCACACUGGGACUGAGACACGGCCCAGACUCCUACGGGAGGCAGCAGUGGGGAAUUUUGGACAAUGGGGGAAACCCUGAUCCAGCCAUGCCGCGUGAGUGAAGAAGGCCUUCGGGUUGUAAAGCUCUUUCAGCCGGAACGAAACGGUCACGGCUAAUACCUGUGAUCACUGACGGUACCGGAAGAAGAAACACCGGCUAACUACGUGCCAGCAGCCGCGGUAAUACGUAGGGUGCAAGCGUUAAUCGGAAUUACUGGGCGUAAAGCGUGCGCAGGCGGUUUUGUAAGUCAGAUGUGAAAUCCCCGGGCUUAACCUGGGAACUGCGUUUGAAACUACAAGGCU
rnacentral:rRNA from 1 species